rnacentral:rRNA from 1 species
UGCCAGCCGCCGCGGUAACACGGGGGGCGCAAGCGUUAUUCGGAAUUAUUGGGCGUAAAGCGCGUGUAGGCGGUUCGUUAAGUCUGAUGUGAAAGCCCGGGGCUCAACCCCGGAAGUGCAUUGGAAACUGGCGAACUUGAGUACGGGAGAGGAAAGUGGAAUUCCGAGUGUAGGGGUGAAAUCCGUAGAUCUCUGGAGGAACACCAAACGCGAAGGCAUUCUGCUGGUCAUUACCUGACGCUGAGGGACGAAAGCGUGGGGAGCGAACGGGAUUCGAUA